rnacentral:lncRNA from 1 species
GGCACAUCUUUCUUGAAACCACCGUUGUGGAUAUACUCCUUCAUCCCCGGAGAAGUGUACACCAAGUCAACGCCACCUGUGAUGAACUUAACCGGUACAUCUACGAUGCCUGCUCCAGUCCAUGGUGCUGUCAGUUCCCAAUUUCUACAAACCAUUCAAAAUUCUGUUAGCUACAAUAAACAAGAUUCAUAACCCCGUAUAAAAGAAUAGGAACUCACAAAUUGAGGUUUCUGUAGUAGUUCAAGCCUCCAGAGAAGCCAGUCUUGUUGAAUUUAGUAACAUAAUAAUCAAGAUCUUCUUGAGAGAUCCAAGAGGGCAAGGUGUCUGGAGUAACUGGAUUAAAUCCAGUUCCAUACUCCCCUUUUGGAAAAGUGGGUGGACCGGUUUUGCGCGUUGUAAGUAUGUUCUUCAUCAGAUACGCAGUGUCAACGCCAGCCAUCUCAGCUUCCAUCUUCCCUGGUUCCUAUGUCACGACAGUGACAUCAAAUCAAAAUUCAAACAUAGUACCAUCGGAUCUACAAUGAUUUAUGUGGGGAGGGUCUAAUUUUUUUUUGGAUACCUGUUAUAACUCAUCAUAUUUUUUUGAAAAUAAUUUAAAAACUAUCCAUAUAAAAAAAUCGAAAAAAGAUUGCACGGUAAAAUUCCCGAUUGAUGUGUGUACCAUAUAAGUAAUUACUCAAUCAAAAAUACUUUUUGUCUGUGUGGAAUAAUAAGGAAAGAAGAGACAGAGUGAUUGAUUUACCUGGAAUCUGCAGAUGUAGUAGUCAUCUCCAUACAAGGAAUGGAAAAAGUCAACGGUUUUCUGUUUGGGGUUUCUUCCGAGGAAGGGGCGGAAGGGGACACUGAGGCACACAUAAGCCUUGAUUCUGUCUGGUCGGAACAAGCAGAG